UACGUAGGGACCAAGCGUUGUUCGGAUUUACUGGGCGUAAAGGGCGCGUAGGCGGCAAUUCAAGUCAGCUGUGAAAUCUCCGAGCUUAACUCGGAACGGUCAGCUGAUACUGCUUUGCUAGAGUGCAGAAAGGGCAAUCGGAAUUCUUGGUGUAGCGGUGAAAUGCGUAGAUAUCAAGAGGAACACCUGAGGCGAAGGCGGGUUGCUAGGCUGACACUGACGCUGAGGCGCGAAAGCCAGGGGAGCGAACGGG
rnacentral:rRNA from 1 species